UACAGGGGUCUCGAGCGUUAAUCGGAAUCACUGGGCUUAAAGGGUGCGUAGGCGGGCCUGUAAGUGUCCUGUGAAAUCCCCCGGCUCAACCGGGGAACUGCGGGGCAUACUGCGGGUCUUGAGGAAGGUAGGCGCCGAGGGAACAGUAGGUGGAGCGGUGAAAUGCGUAGAUAUCUACUGGAACGCCGAUGGUGAAGGCGCUCGGCUGGGCCUUUCCUGACGCUGAGGCACGAAAGCGUGGGGAGCAAACAGG
rnacentral:rRNA from 1 species